rnacentral:rRNA from 1 species
AUUGAACGCUGGCGGCAUGCCUAACACAUGCAAGUCGAGCGGCCGCACGAGAAGCUUUCUUUUCUGCUGGUAGCGUGGGACGGGUGAGUGACACGUCCAUAACAUUCCUAUAAGACUGGGGUAACUUCGUGGAAACGGUGACAAUAACGGCUCAUAUUUUCAACAGCAUAGUUCAGAAGUGCAGGACAUCUUGGCUGUCACUUAUAGCUGGUGCCGCGCUGCAUUAGCUAGUUGGUAAGGUAACGGCUUACCAAGGCGACGAUGCGUAGCCGACCUGAGAGGAUGAUCGGCCACACUGGAACUGAGACACGGUCCAGACUCCUACGGGAGGCAGCAGUGGGGAAUAUUGCACAAUGGGCGAAAGCCUGAUGCAGCAAUGCCGCGUGGGUGAAGAAGGUCUUCGGGUUGUAAAGCUCUUUUAUUGGGGAAGAACAGAUGUAUAUUAAUCCCUGCACAUCUUGACGGUACCCAAAGAAAAAGCACCGGCUAACUACGUG